rnacentral:misc_RNA from 1 species
UUUAGAAUCAUCAGCGGAACCUAAUUUUCCAAAUUGAGGAUAUGAAUUGAGAGCUUUAAGAAAAGCAUCCCUUGAGUAGAAAUUCUUUCCUGCACAACCUGCAGGAGCUUGAUUGAUUAUGCCAUUAAAGAAAGCUGGUGUCACAAGGUCUGGCACCGAGACACCUUGGCCCAUGACAUUUUUAGGGAGGGCUCCUGCAAGAAUUAUUGCCAGGGUGAUGGUAAACAGAAGGUUCAUCAUGCUGUUGUGGGUUAACAUUUUGAGAGAGAUUGGCCUAAAUAGAGUAAGUGAAAAAGUG